rnacentral:rRNA from 1 species
UCGAACGGCAGCACGGGGGCAACCCUGGGUGGCGAGUGGCGAACGGGUGAGUAAUACAUCGGAACGUGCCCAGUCGUGGGGGAUAACGUAGCGAAAGCUACGCUAAUACCGCAUACGAACUCUGGUUGAAAGCGGGGGAUCGCAAGACCUCGCGCGAUUGGAGCGGCCGAUGGCAGAUUAGGUAGUUGGUGGGGUAAAGGCCUACCAAGCCGACGAUCUGUAGCUGGUCUGAGAGGACGACCAGCCACACUGGGACUGAGACACGGCCCAGACUCCUACGGGAGACAGCAGUGGGGAAUUUUGGACAAUGGGCGCAAGCCUGAUCCAGCCAUUCCGCGUGCAGGAUGAAGGCCCUCGGGUUGUAAACUGCUUUUGUACGGAACGAAAAGGUCCUGGUUAAUACCCGGGGCUGAUGACGGUACCGUAAGAAUAAGCACCGGCUAACUACGUGCCAGCAGCCGCGGUAAUACGUAGGGUGCGAGCGUUA